UAGGGAAUCUUCCACAAUGGACGCAAGUCUGAUGGAGCAACGCCGCGUGAGUGAAGAAGGGUUUCGGCUCGUAAAGCUCUGUUGGUAGUGAAGAAAGAUAGAGGUAGUAACUGGCCUUUAUUUGACGGUAAUUACUUAGAAAGUCACGGCUAACUACGUGCCAGCAGCCGCGGUAAUACGUAGGUGGCAAGCGUUGUCCGGAUUUAUUGGGCGUAAAGCGAGCGCAGGCGGUUAGAUAAGUCUGAAGUUAAAGGCAGUGGCUCAACCAUUGUAGGCUUUGGAAACUGUUUAACUUGAGUGCAGAAGGGGAGAGUGGAAUUCCAUGUGUAGCGGUGAAAUGCGUAGAUAUAUGGAGGAACACCGGUGGCGAAAGCGGCUCUCUGGUCUGUAACUGACGCUGAGGCUCGAAAGCGUGGGGAGCGAACAGGAUUAGAUACCCUGGUAGUCCACGCCGUAAACGAUGAGUGCUAGGUGUUGGAUCCUUUCCGGGAUUCAGUGCCGCAGCUAACGCAUUAAGCACUCCGCCUGGGGAGUACGACCGCAAGGUUG
rnacentral:rRNA from 1 species